rnacentral:lncRNA from 1 species
CCAGACCUUGCUAGCGGACGUGUUUCGGGUGCACUAGCUAAACGUUACAGGCACAGGCCAGUCAUAGGCUGUGCAAUUUUUAGUCGCCGUGCAAUUUUUCCUGCCAAACUAGAGCGGUGCAUGCUAAAGAUAGGUCGCGGUGCUCAGGGAUCGUUGCGUAUAGAUAGAACCGGCGCGGGGGACAAGGGAGACCUUGGCCUUAGAAGUUUAUAUAACGAGGAAGCGCGCGAACCACCAGCUCAGUCGCGACGCUCCGUUUCGAUCCACCGAUCCGAGCCGCGCUCUCCAAUUCUGAAGAUAAUAAAAAAAGAUCGGCGAAAUUUUACGUCGGUGAAGUUUUCGAGAGGUUACUACGCGUGCAAAGCGAAGAAAGGUAUCCGCGUGAUUGGGGUAGGAAGUUCGUCGAAACGAAAGGAACGUGGCCAUGGUGAACGGUGACAAGUGGCUUUUCCGGCGUGCGAAGUAAAAACACGCUCUACAUGCUGAGGAACUGGAGCAGUGGAAGUUGCGCGACCAAACGAGUAAAUCAGGAGGUGUACGAUGGAAUCUGGUCUGCUCUGAAUAGAAAAAAUAAUAACUCAGCUUCCAGGCAGUCCGACGAUAGACCGGCAUCGAAGACCGAUAGACGUUUUCAGCUGACGUAGCCAGUUUAGAAUUG